rnacentral:lncRNA from 1 species
CAUACUGCAAAGGCACAGUAUUGCCCAUUGGUAGAAGAGGAUGCCCUAAGUAAGAUGAAGUGGAAGGUGUGAACCCCUGGAGUUUUACAAUCAUUUGAAAUUCAAAGGCAAAUGCUGAGAGCACACCAUCAUGAGAAUUGGCACCAAUGAAAAAGUUUGUCAAAAUCACUCUGGCACUAAACCACUGAAUGUUUUCAACACAAAUGGAAAGCUGACAUCAUUUAUAGACAACUCAUGGACCAACACAAAGGAAAAAAUGUCAGAUCCAGUGAAUUUCUUUUCUUGUAAUUACUGUAUGAUUUCAACAUUGGCGUCUAUAAGAAAUACUAUUUUCCUCUGAAGUGUUUUCUGUAGCAUUAUUUUGUUUACCAUGGGAGGUUUGUCUUCUCCCUUUUUCCUCAGAAGUUGAACACACAUUUUCAAAGCCUGC